rnacentral:tRNA from 1 species
GGGCUCGUAGCUCAGCUAGGUAGAGCAGCAGGCUCUUAACCUGUUGGCCAGGGGUUCGAAUCCCCUCGAGCCCG